GUUUUUAUAGUUUAUGCUAAAACUUUGGUCUUGUAAACCAAGAAUAAUCUAUUAAAAUUUUUAAACA
rnacentral:tRNA from 1 species